rnacentral:rRNA from 1 species
UACGUAGGGUGCAAGCGUUGUCCGGAAUUAUUGGGCGUAAAGAGCUCGUAGGCGGUCUGUCGCGUCGGCUGUGAAAACUCGGGGCUCAACUCCGAGCUUGCAGUCGAUACGGGCAGGCUAGAGUUCGGCAGGGGAGACUGGAAUUCCUGGUGUAGCGGUGAAAUGCGCAGAUAUCAGGAGGAACACCGGUGGUGUAGACGGCUUUCUGGACCGUAACUGACGCUGAGACACGAAGACGUGGUAGCAACAGG